UUACGCUCAUAACACGUUAAAACACAAAUUCUCAUCCGAUCACCGAAGUUAAGCAACGUUGAGCCUGGUUAGUACUUAGAUGGGUGACUACUUAGGAAUAAUAGGUGCUAU